UACAUUGCAAAGCGCCUCCUAGCAUCCUGGCCCUUCCCUCCCCAGCUACUCAUCCUCCUUAUAAUACACAUAAGUUUUGACCACACUACCACUCUCCCACUCUCUAAAGGGCAUAACUGACAUUCCUUAACAGCUAUAACAGUUCUCAGCUGCUAAGGCAGGAGAAUGGCCAGGCCCCGCCCUACAGAAAAAAAAAACGCACCAAUCCCUGAGCUUGUCCCUAGAUUAGCCCAUGUAAUCCUGGGCCAUCCUGGAGAAUCCCCCCACCCCUGGAAAUUUCAUGUAAAUAAACCUUGUCUUCCACUCAUUUUUCUGCUGUUUAUCGUUCAGCAAGGCAGUCACCUUCCUGCGCUCUUCCCUCGCAAUAAAUCUUUUGUGUGAAGUUUGGAGAGUAAAAGACCUAGGGAAAGAACAUACUGAGUGGGUUUUGGGUGAAGGGGAAGCAUCAUAUAACUCUUUCUGGGACUGUGAAUGCAAAAAGUGCCCUGGGAUGUUUGAGAGUCUCCAGAUCUGGUCAGCCUGAACCAGCUGAUGAAGUAACUGAGGCUCCGUGUGCCCUUAUGGAACCUAGUAAUGAAUGCACAGGAUCUUUGUAUCACUGCUGGAGAAGCAGGAGUCCAAGAAAUCAACGCUUGAAAAAGAUCAGGAGGCCUGGGAUUGUGGGCUCCUCAGAGCAACAGCUCCUGAACUCCCAACGGAGAAUGCCCAAGACUCUGAGACCAACUUCUAUGGCAGAGCAACAGGAAGAUGUGACAUAUGUGACAUGCCAAAUGGAUCCUGUUGUAAUGAAACCUGUGGAUAUUGAGCCAAGUGUGCCAGAAGCCAGGCCACUGCAGUUUCUGACUGUUAGGUGCUUAGAUCAGGCUCUAUACACACCAGCUGCUACACGGUCACGGCUAGAUGCAGCUGCAGAUGAUCCGGAUGCCAGGCAGGUAUUUCUACCUGCCGUUGUGCUAUUAGGUACACCAGAGCCCAUGUCCCCUCUGCCUGAGGUUGACAUAUAGUUAAGUAGUAGAAUUACCUGCUGAGUUCCACCCAGCACCAGAUCCAUGGCUGUACUGUCUGGAUAUAAGCUAGAGUCAUCAGAGUGGAAGGAGAAGUUGAGAAAAUAUCUCCAUAAGGUCAGGCUGUAAGGCAUUUUCUUAACCAGUGAUCAAUGGUGGAGGGUCCAGCAGAUUAUGGGAGAUGCCAUCCCUGCGUUGAAGGUCACGAGUUUUGUAAAAAAGCAGGAUGAGUAAGCCAUUUGAAGCAAGCUAAAUCAGUUCUUGCCUGCAAGUUCCUCCCUGCUUGAGUUCUUGUCCUCACUUCCUUUGGUAAUGAAUAGUGAUAUGGAAAUGUAAGCUGAAUUACCUCCCCUUGCUAAACAGAAAACAAAAUAAACAAACCUAUGUCUCUCUUCUAUUGUCAGAGUAGGGGUACAGCCUUGCCAGUCCCACCAAGCUCCACCACUUAGCUGUAUCUUCAGGUGAAUCCCCUUACCUAUUCCUUCCUACCAACUCCUAAGCUUUUCCCAAGAUCAGAAUCCCCAGAUGCCAACAAUCCCAAAGCCACUCUGGGAAGCUAGGCCCCCAAGUAAGCUUGUAUAAACUCUGUUUUCUGUUCAGCUGACUGCUUCCCACCCAAACAGAGAUAUGCACCUUCCUGGGUUUCUCCCUCUCAAUAAACCUUGUGUGUGAGGUUUGUUGUGUAGUA